rnacentral:rRNA from 1 species
UACGGAGGGUGCGAGCGUUGUCCGGAAUCACUGGGCGUAAAGGGCGCGUAGGUGGCACGGGUAGUCGUCGGUGAAAGCUCAGGGCUCAACCCUGAGUCGGCCGGUGAUACUCCCGAGCUCGAGUGUGGUGGAGGCCAAUGGAAUUCCGGGUGUAGCGGUGGAAUGCGUAGAGAUCCGGAAGAACACCGGUGGCGAAGGCGGUUGGCUGGGCCACAACUGACACUGAUGCGCGACAGCGUGGGGAGCAAACAGG